rnacentral:sRNA from 1 species
AACAGAAACAUGGAUUUUAGUUAAAAAUUGCAGUAUAACAUAAAAUGAAAUGUUAAUAGAAAAUCACUUAAGUGGUCUUUAAAAUUUCCGGUGGGCUGCUCUGGUGCUGUUUGUAUUUUGAUGCCUGGGAUGAAGAGCGGAUCUGUACUCAGGUGACUUCACCAGGACCUUCUGCCCGUUUUCACUUGUAAAUAAAGGUGCUUUAAUCUGGCUAAUAAGAAACAUGCAUGACAACUGGCAAGACAGUGCAUGUCUGCACCUAAGACUUGGGAGGUGGAUCACAACCUUGAGGCCCAUCUGGAUGAUAAUUCACUCUUUUGUAAGGAGAGAACCAAGAAUGAAGUCUGCAUUUUAUGUGGCAAAUACAUCAAGUCAACAGCUCCAGACACCAAGGAUGACAAGGAAUUUAGUAAGAAGCACUUUUUUUUUUUUAAAUAAAUAAAAAGGAAAACCAGAACAGAACGGUGCGU